rnacentral:rRNA from 1 species
UACGUAGGCAGCAAGCGUUGUUCGGAGUUACUGGGCGUAAAGAGUGUGUAGGCGGUUGGGUAAGUUCGGUGUGAAAUCCCCCGGCUUAACUGGGAGGGUGCGCCGAAGACUGGCUGGCUUGAGGGCGGGAGAGGAAAGCGGAAUUCCUGGUGUAGCGGUGAAAUGCGUAGAUAUCGGGAAGAACACCAGCGGCGAAAGCGCGCAACUGGGCCAUUACUGACACUGAGGGACGAAAGCUAGGGGAGCUAAUGGG